rnacentral:lncRNA from 1 species
GUUAGUCUGUGUCUUGUGUUUUCAAGUGACUUGUGUUUUCAAGGAUUUUUCUAGUUUUUUUUUUCUUAAAAAUUGCAUAUACAUAGUUAAUGAAUUUAUUUUUAUAUAAUUAGAUUUUUAUAGUUUAUUUGAAAAUAAACUAAAGUUAUAAAUUUUGAAGUUUGUAUCAUUUAAUAUUGUUAGAACAUGAUUUUUAUUUUAUUUUAUCAUUCCAUCAACUACAAAC